UUUUUUUUUUUUUUUUUUGUAGAAAAAUGUACUGUAAAAAUUCGAUACAUACGAGAUAAAAAAUGAUCUGAAAAAAUAGCAAUCUAAAGUGGGAUAAGCCUCUCUAUCUCUAUUCUAAAUGUCUUUUCCUAACCAUCAAUCGUUACAUCCCGUGAUCUUCUUCCCUUUUUUUUUUCCUAUUUUUUUUAAAGGCUAGCUACAAUCUAUAAUGUCUUCAAAUCAGAAAAGAAAGGGAGCCAGAAAAAGAUAAAGAAAAACAAAAAGAGACAGCAAUUGUAUUUCGUAGUAGAAGCGAAGAUUAUGUGGGAAGUAUCAAUGCUAAUUAUCCUUGUGUUAUCAUUCAUUAUUAUAGUAUCAUUUUGUUUUGGAAAACCAAAUUUGACGCUGUCCCGGAACGACCCUGUGGACUUCAAGUCAAUCAACACACACUAGAGUAUUAAUUAAUGGCACUAUGUAACCUCAAAUACAUAAUUAAAGCAGCACGCCCGUUGGAGUGACUGCUGUAUUAUAUAUAUAUAUAUAUAUAUACAUAUACAGUACUCCCUCCGUCCCAUUUUGAUAGUCUCAUUUCUUUUCUCAUACAAUUUAAGAAAAAGUAAUUAACUUUAUUGGAAAAGUAAAUUUAGAUUACUAUUUUUCUAAAAUACCCUCACAUUAAAUAUGAUACAACUUUAUGGAAACUUGAAUUGAUGGUAAAAAAAGAAUCAAUUCUCAUUAAAUGGGGUAGGUUUAUAGUAACAACAACUUACAUUGAAUAAGGAUAUUUUAGAAAAAUUAAAACAUAACUACAUUUUUCAAUUGAAAAGUGGACUAUAAUUUGGGACAGACAAAAAAGGAAAACGAGACUAUCAAAAUGGGACGGAUGGAAUACUAAAGAAUUGAAGAAGAAAUGAGACCCUAUUUCCUGGACACAUCAAUUGGAUGCAUUAAUAGUGCAGAGUAUUAAAUUCUCAGCAGCUAAUUGGCCCCAACAAUUCUCCCUUUUUUUUUUUUCAUUUUUUGCCACCAAAGCAAAAAAAAUAAAAAAAUUCGUUCACCAGCUUUUAUUUUAUACUCCCUCCGUCCCGUUUUGUUAGUCUUGGUUUUUUUUUCACACAGAUUAAGAAAGUGUAAUUAAUUUGGUUGGAAACAUAAAUUUAGAUUAAUAAUUUCCUAAAAUACCCUUAUGCUAAUCACGAAGAGUGCCAAUUAAUAUCAGUUACAGCUAAUGGGUUAGUAUUGGAAAAGCUCAAUGUAUUCAAUGUAGUGGGUUAGUAUUUAAUAACAAUGUAUUAAUAACAAGAUAUUUAAUAAGGGUAUUUUAGACAAUUUGAAAGAUUACUACAUUUCUUAAUGAGAAAGUGGACUACAAUUUGGGACAGACGAAAAAGGAAAACAAGACUAUCAAAGUGGGACGGAGGGAGUAUUAAUUUUUACUAUACCGAUGGGAUAUACUCUUGCAACACUAAAAACAUACCGUAUUUGUAAAUUUUAAAAUUUAAAUUCAAAUUUACAUAACUUAUCAUGCAUACAGACUAAUUAUUCGGUUAGUGUAUUAUAUAUUAACUUUUUAUCGAAAAGAUUAAUCUUUUCAUUUUACACAUUAUACAUAGUAAAGUUGUGUACCAUUACUACUACAGUUGGUGCCGUUUGCUGAACAAGUGUGUGAUGCUUCAGUUGCAUCAACACGCAAUAUGUUAAAGGUACCAAUGUUGUCAAAUUCAGAUCAGAGCGGGAUCCACUUGAAAGUCAAGCAAAGCUGUCAAAAAUAACAAAACCACGUCUUAGAUUUUGUUUGGCUUUUGCUUUCAUACUAUAGCUUAGCUUACUUUUUUAUUUAUUUGGUCGGUUUCGAAGCUCAUGCCUUGCAAAAGCCGACACAGUGUUAAACAUGUCUGCAACGGGGGUGCGAAUUCCACCCGCAAUAAAUUUUUUUUUUUAAAAAGUGUCAAAACAGUCUUCUGAUUUGAUUGAAUUUGUGUAUCUAUUAGUGUCUGAUAUCUCCUUUAAUCUAGUUAAAUCUAUAUACAUGCUAAUCCCUAAUAUAGUCUCUUUAGCCUUUUUUUUUUCUGUAGAAUAUGAUAUAUUAGCUUAUAAAAAUAUUUUCAUCGUGACAAAAAAAUUCUUUUAUUCAACUUAAUAAAAUUUAAGCUUGGCAUCCUUUCCCCCGUGCAAAAAAAAAAAAAAGUGUCUGCAAUGCAACCCUGAAGGUCAAGAAUUAUAGCAAGUGAUGAUUUGUUUAGUUAAGACAGUGGGUUAUUUUCUCAAAUAUAUUUGUUUACAUCACCAUUACAAUUUUCAAUACAAUUUUUUAUCUUCUCAAUUACCUUUUUAUCUCACAUACAUCACGUUACAAAAAGUGCUACAGUAAAAAUAUCUCAAAUAAUCCGCUAUCCAAACACACUUAGGCAUUGGGAGUGAUGAUUUGUUGGAGAAUUUCUUGGUAAUUUGACAGUACGUUAACGGUUUCGAUUUGGACCAAAAAUCUUCAACCUUUUCAUACCGAUGAAUCUCAUAACAUGUCGGCCGCUUUCAGUUCACGAUUUUCUCGUCCGAAUUUUGUUCUUCUAGAAGGCGAUUAAUGAGAACCACCAGGUACUAAAGGGGAGACAUUAAUGUGUGUUUGAAUUUGCUGCUUGCUGCCAACUCAUAAAACAAUUGGUAAUCUUGCUUUGCUUCUCCAUAAACAUAUUCUAGCGUCUAAUAAUAUGCAGAAAAUGGCCUCUUUCGGAGACGCCCGUUUUUGGUGGAGAGUAAUUAAAGAAACGAUAAAAUUUUCCUACAAUGACAAAAUAUACACAGUAUGUUAAUGUGAGUGAUGCUUUAAGGAAAAGCUUGUGAGAUUACUGUACCACUAAUCCCACUUUUGUUAUAAGAUGGAUUAUCCAAGUUAAAAACGUAAUAGUACAUUUUAUCUGUUCUGCUGUAAAGUUAAUGCAAAAUACCGUCCUACCCACAUGAAAAUUGUUUUCCCAAUAAUUUUUUUUUUUGUCAUUCAUUCAAGAAAUUCUUGUCAUUUCAAGGUUGCGAAGAUUGUGUUAGAGCGUAAUGUUCAAUUAAAUAAUUUGAUGGUAGUGUAGGAUCACUAGACACAAACAGUUUGAGGAGGUAAAUAGCGUAAAAUAAUAUAAUUUGAUGGGCUUAAAGUGCAAUGCUGCAAGGUCGAACGAAAGACUAAUUGGUUUUGACUUGUUACAUGAUCUCUUGGUCUUGUCAAAACAAGAAAAUAAAGACAAUAAAUUGCAACCUACUUGGUAGGAAAAUUAAGACAUUUUAAUUGUAACUAAUAGAUUUGAAUUAUUAAUGGGAUAAGUGGAGAAUCACCGGUAAUCUUCUCAAAAAAAAAAGGGUAAAAAGUGCAUUAAACAUUAAUUCAGAAAUUAUUCCCAAAAAAUACAAAAGAUUAAACCAUUAUUUGCUGAUAUUUUUCCCUUCUCUUGAAGAUUAAUUAGCUAACACAGACACACACGCACAGAGAGGGAGAGAAAGAGCGAAAAGAGAGAGAAUAUUCACAUUUAAAGACACCAAAGCAAAUUAUUGUCCAAACAAUAAUCCUAACAACAAAGAUCCCCAUUAAGAAUUAAUACUCAUAGCCAUUAUAUUACCCUAGAAACAAAAUUUAAAAAAAAAAUCCCGCAGGAAUUUAACAAUACAGAAACGCCCCACCCGCACGCGCUUUCAUGAUAUAAACAACUUAAAGCCGCAGAGAAGCUUCCCAAACUUGGUCAAAAGAUUACAACAAAAAACCACUUUUGCCCAAUUAAACAAAUUUCUGCAAUUAUCAAGUUAAGAAACCUCACCCAAAAUGUUCCCCUACUCCUCACCACACUCCAUUCCCCUACAUCUCACAUCACUACCGUUCAUUGUCAUCUGGUGGUCGCUAUGAAUCCACACCACCAAUUGCUGCCCUUUUUGAAUUUUCAACGUUCCUUCAUUUUCAACCGCGGGAACCUAACUGCUGGAAGUGCCCUCUCUUUGACCAGGCCUUGAGUAAUGAAUACAGUACUCGAAUUCAAACGCUUUGCGAAAUUUUUUUUUUUUUUUAUAAUUCGCCCAGAACAAAGAAGAGUUCUUGCUUUAUUGCUUACCUUAACGGUUAGCACUUAGCACCCCACAUUGACUAUCUAAGUGUGUAUAUAUAUAGCUUUCUAAACGAAGAGUCUGUUAAACACAACAUCUCAGUUUCUCCUUUGGCCAAAAGGGCUGCUAGAGAAACUGACUGAACACGAAGAAGUUGGGAAUCAAGAUUCAAUUCGUUCAUUCUUUGUGCACUGUUGGUAGUCUUGUAGCGUGCAGUUUUCUGUCCCUGGAGUUUUAUUUCUGAUUUUUGUUGUAUAGUUUGAGGUGAAGAAAAGAAAAGAAAGAAGGGGUCUUGGAAAGGAAGUUAUCAGCGAGAGUUGGAAACAAUGGCUGCUUUUGCAGGGGAUGAUUUGUCGAGGGCGACGAGUAGUAGGAGGAGUUGGGGGUCAGGGAGUGUGAGGGGGAGUGUGAGGGAGAUUUGGCAAGGUCCACCUGAUAUUUUUGCGAGGAAUAGUACUAGGAGAGAAAUGGUGGAUGAUGAAGAGGAGCUCAAGUGGGCUGCUAUUGAGAGGCUGCCUACUUAUGAUAGGAUGAGAAAAGGGAUGCUUAAGCAAGUGGUGAGUAAUGGAAGAGUGAUCUCAAAUGAGGUUGAUGUUACUAUCUUGGUGCUCAGGAUAAGAAGCAGUUAAUGGAUAGUAUUCUUAAAGUUGUUGAAGAUGACAAUGAGAGGUUCCUUACAAGACUCCGAGAUCGAACUGACAGGUGAAUGUUCUCUCAGCUAUCUUGCUAUUGUCAUCUCUUUGAUUACUGUAAAAAAAAUGAUGUUACAAUAGCUGGGCUUCACAAUUUUGGAACUUAAUAGGUUUCCUCUUUGAUGCUUUUAUAUGAUGAUCAGAACAAUCUUGUGAAGGUUUUUGACAGCAGCUUUUGUUGGGAUUUGGAGAUAACUAAUGUUUUGACUUGUUUGGUCGAGUGCAGGGUGGGUAUUGAGAUUCCAAAGAUUGAAGUGAGAUUCCAGAAUUUAUCUAUAGAGGGAGAUGCAUAUGUUGGCACCAGAGCACUUCCAACUCUGUGGAACUCCACCCUCAACACGCUUGAGGUGAUUAGCUGUUCUGUUCCUCCCGUGCGUCUUGACACAGUUCAUGGAACUAAUAUUUAGUUGAAUGGGAUUUCCCACAACUUAAGUUUCUUAAUUCUCCGGUGUUAGUUUUAUUGGUAAAUAACGGUGAAUGCUUAAUUAGAUCCACUACGUCGAAGAACUGCAAUUUUCGUUAAUAAUCUUAUCAAGGGGAACAUAGGAAAUGGUUGAAAUAGGGAAGAUAGAGCUUUUUAUACAGUUUCUGAAGUAGAAAGAUUGAGGGGUUUUACAUUUAAGCGUCCUGUUAUGGUUCUUUUCCAGAAUUUAUUUUUUUGUCCGAUAAUUGCUGUAUCCUAGUUCUGAAGUAUUAUUCCAUUCAUUUUUAUGUUUGAUUAGGCUGCUAUUGGAUUGAUUGGACUUGCUCAAUCAAAGAAAAGAGUUGUUAGAAUUCUUGAAGGUGUCAGUGGAAUUGUUAGACCAACAAGGUAUGCUUCUCAGAAUUUCUAAUUAGAACUCUUUUUUUUUUUUUUUAAAUUAGUUUAUCUAACUCUUGGGUAUUGUCUUUUAAUCUAAAUUUUAAGAUUAGCUCUUCCAUCAUGUUCUUACACUUCUGCUUGAAAUUUACUGCUUUUUCAGGAUGACACUACUGCUUGGGCCUCCCGGUUCAGGAAAAACUACCUUACUCAAAGCUUUGGCAGGCAAAGCUGACGAUGAUCUGAGAGUAUGUCCCCUCCCCCCACCCCUUUCCUUUUAGACGUUUUCGUUAUUUGUCAUUCUUGAUGAGUUGCUGAUUGUAAGUGAAUGAACAGGUCACUGGAAAAAUCACCUACUGUGGUCAUGAAUUCCAUGAAUUUGUUCCUCAGAGAACAAGUGCUUAUAUCAGCCAGCAUGAUCUUCAUUAUGGUGAAAUGACAGUACGUGAGACAAUGGAUUUUGCUGGUAGAUGCUUGGGAGUAGGAACCAGAUAUGAUAUGCUGGUGGAGUUGUCAAGAAGGGAGAGAGAAGCAGGUAUUAAACCAGAUCCUGAGAUUGAUGCGUUCAUGAAAGCCACAGCCAUGGCGGGACAGGAAACCAGCUUGAUUACUGAUUAUGUGCUGAAGGUCCGUUCCUCAGAACCCUUUUUUUCUUUGGGGAUUAUGAUGUCAUUCAGACAAGACUAAUGUGCUCAUAUGUUCCAACAGAUUCUUGGAUUGGACAUUUGUGCUGAUAUUAUGGUGGGAGAUGACAUGAGAAGAGGCAUUUCUGGUGGUCAGAAGAAGCGUGUUACUACUGGUAUGCACGCAUCAAUUACCGAAAGCUCUAGGCAGUAUAUAACGAUUCAAGUGUUACAUAUUUGAAUAAAAUUCUAAUGUGCAGCUCCCGAUUCAUUAUGCUUUUCAAUAGAAGAAAGAUACACUACUAUGUUUUGAAUUGACAUUUUGCAGUGUAAACAGGCUUAUCAUCUUUUAGUUUUAGUGAUUUUCUUCACGCAUCAAAUCGUCUGGACUGACGUUGUGAUUGUGUCAAUGCAGCUGAAAUGUUGGUAGGACCAGCAAAAGCAUUUUUCAUGGAUGAAAUAUCAACAGGACUGGACAGUUCCACCACUUUCAAAUAGUGAAGUUCAUGAGACAGAUGGUUCAUAUUAAUGAUAUAACCAUGGUCAUCUCUCUCUUACAGCCAGCGCCCGAGACAUUCAAUCUUUUUGAUGAUGUCAUCCUACUUUCUGAUGGGCGCAUUGUCUAUCAGGGUCCACGUGAGAAUAUUCUUGAGUUCUUCGAGUACAUGGGAUUUAAAUGUCCUGAAAGGAAAGGAAUUGCAGACUUUCUGCAGGAGGUUACCUCAAAGAAGGACCAACAGCAGUAUUGGUACAGAAAAAACCAGCCUUUUAGAUAUGUCUCUUCAGAGGAUUUCGCAAAUGCGUUCAAUUCCUUCCAUGUAGGACAACGACUUACAGCAGACCUUAGAGUUCCUUAUGAUAAGGCCAGAACCCACCCUGCAGCAUUGGUUAAAGAGAAGUAUGGAAUUUCGAAUUGGGAGCUCUUCAGGCAUGCUUUGAUCGUGAAUGGCUGCUCAUGAAGCGGAGUGCUUUUGUUUUCAUAUUUAAAACAACACAAAUCACUAUCAUGGCCUUAAUUGCCCUGACGGUGUUUUUAAGAACAGAAAUGAAAACUGGUCACGUGAAUGAUGCUGCUAGUUUUGGGGAGCAUUGUUUUUCAGUCUUAUCAAUGUGAUGUUCAAUGGAAUGGCUGAGCUGGCCAUGACAGUUUUCAGGCUUCCUGUUUUUUUCAAGCAGAGGGACUGUUUGUUCUACCCAGCUUGGGCAUUUGCUCUGCCAAUUUGGGUCCUCCGUAUUCCCAUUUCAGUCAUGGAGUCCGUAAUAUGGAUCAUUUUCACGUAUUACACCAUUGGUUUUGCGCCUUCUGCAGCCAGGUAAGUUCAAGUUCAUGCAAUUUCGUUGAAGCUUUUAGUCAAUUCUUGGCAGGCAUCUAAUAAGCUUUUCUUUAUUUUUAUCUUCAAUGUAUCAGGUUCUUCAAACAGCUCUUGGCAUUCAUUGGCAUCCAUCAGAUGGCUCUCUCUUUGUUUCGUUUCAUUGCUGCAGCUGGAAGAGCACAAGUUGUAGCAAACACGCUUGGAACCUUCACCUUGUUGUUGGUCUUUAUUCUAGGAGGCUUCAUUGUUGCAAAAGGUGAAAGCAUGAUUUAGAUAUACCACAAUUUCCGCAUGACAUUUUGUAGUCUAGAUAUACAUAUUGUCGGUUGCGGAAAAUCAGUUGCUCCAUGCUUGGAUCUGUAUUGGCUGCUUUAUUUGUAGCAAUACAAUUGAAUUGCUAACCAAUUUUAUGGAAAUGUAAUUCACAGAUGACAUCAAGAAUUGGAUGAUAUGGGGUUACUAUGUUUCUCCUAUGAUGUAUGGACAAAAUGCCAUUGCCAUCAACGAGUUUCUUUCUGAAAGAUGGAGCAACGUAAGACCUCCUGAUAAUUGCCUCUAAAUGUGUACAUUCUUUCCAAGAUCUGUAAAGCUAGAGGAUACUCUAUAUUGAUUUUGACGUGGUUCUUAAUUUUCAUUCUACAGCCCUCCAAUGGCUCUGAACCUACAGUUGGAAAGACACUUCUAAAGGACAGAGGUCUAUUUACCACUGAAACUUGGUACUGGAUUGGUGUAGGAGCUCUUUUCGCUUUCUCCUUGUUGUUCAAUGUUCUUUUUAUUGGAGCAUUGACAUUUUUAAAUCGUGAGUACAAAGUCCACCUGUUAUCUUACAUUUGUCAUCUAUCAUUCUAUACUAUAUGAUACAAGAAGUUCAUGUUUUAAUACGUGAUACGACUUAAUUAUCAGCAAUUGGAGAUACUAAAGCUGUUCUUGUUGAGGACGAUGAUGAGAAAAAGACUAGAAAUGAAGCAUCCAAUUCUGCAGGUUUGUGGUCUAUUAAACUACUCCUUUUUGUGGUCUAUUAAACUAUUUUUAAGCUUGGAGUGUUAAAUUCUUAGCCUAUUCCCUUUAAUAACAUCCAUGUUUUUGACAAUGAUACAAACGAAAGAAAGUAUCAAAAAUUCUUUUGCUUCUUAAACUGUAAAAUAUGGUAACUGAUGUGAACACCUUAAUUGUCAUCUAUAGCCUUUUGUCAUCUAAUUUUUUUGUAAAAUGACAAUUAAGUGUACCACUGAAUAAAUUCCUCUUUUCAAGGCUUUCAGUUAUUAAAAAUAAUUCAGGACCAAAAAAAUGCGUUUCUCAUACGCUGUCAUUGCUACAGGAAUUCAAAUGGGUGUAAGAAAUUCUCAGGCAAAUGGCAACUCAAUGGUUAGUGCAACAAACAAUCAAGCAACUAGAGGAAUGGUUUUGCCCUUCCAACCACUCUCACUUGCAUUCGAUCAUGUGAAGUACUACGUGGACAUGCCUGCAGUAAGUCUCGUCCAUCCCUGUCCUUAAUUUUGUGAAAUUGCCCACAUCUCAUUUCUGUGGUCAGACUCUCGGAAACAAACAUAAUAUUGUUAUUAUUUUUCUAACUUGGAAAUUUGAUUCAUAUCAGGAAAUGAAGUCACAAGGGAUUGAAGAAGAUAGAUUGCAACUUUUGAGAGAUGUUAGUGGUGCUUUCAGGCCUGGCGUUUUAACAGCACUGGUGGGUGUCAGUGGUGCUGGAAAGACCACAUUGAUGGAUGUCUUAGCAGGUAGAAAGACAGGUGGCUACAUUGAAGGAAGCAUAAGCAUUUCAGGCUACCCAAAGAACCAAGAAACUUUUGCCCGAGUUAGUGGUUACUGUGAGCAGAAUGAUAUACACUCACCUUAUGUAACUGUUUAUGAAUCGCUCCUCUAUUCUGCCUGGCUGCGGCUUGCUUCUGAUGUAAAGACAGAAACUCGAAAGGUAAGCAUAGUAAUUACUAGAAUUAUGACCUUUGACUCAUUGAUAAACGUAGUGCAUUAAUGUGCAUGCCUUUAAAUCAACAACGCUUUGUAUGUAAUUUGCUGAAGUUUCAUUUUCUUUCUUACUACAGAUGUUUGUUCAAGAAGUCAUGGACUUGGUUGAGCUCAAUGCUCUGAGGGACGCUCUUGUUGGACUUCCAGGAGUGGACGGCCUUUCAACCGAGCAGAGAAAGAGACUUACAAUUGCUGUUGAAUUAGUUGCUAAUCCUUCCAUCAUCUUUAUGGAUGAGCCCACUUCAGGACUUGAUGCUAGAGCUGCUGCAAUUGUCAUGCGUACUGUCAGAAAUACAGUGGAUACUGGUAGAACUGUGGUCUGCACAAUUCACCAACCAAGCAUUGAUAUAUUUGAAGCUUUUGACGAGGUACACUUAAUUGUCAUUUUUCUUACACUAGAUAUUUUUGGGCACUCUGCAUUUUUUAACACCAUUCUUAUACCUGCAGCUACUCUUGAUGAAGAGAGGAGGACAAGUGAUAUAUGCUGGACCUCUUGGUCGCCAUUCUCACAAACUCGUUGAAUAUUUUGAGGUGAGGUUCUGCUCCUAUUGCUUGGUUGCAAACACACUGUCUGUGCACUAGAAUUGUGUGUCUGUGCACUAGAAUUGAAAUCCUACCCAACUUGCAGGCUGUACCUGGUGUUCCAAGAUAAAAGAGGGUUACAAUCCAGCUACGUGGAUGUUGGAUGUCAGCACCUCAGCAAUGGAGGCUCAACUUGAAGUCGAUUUUGCAGACAUAUAUGCCAACUCUGAUCUCUACAGGUAAAAGAAGGGUUAACUUAUACAGCGUAGAAAGUUUUCAAGCAUCAAAUGCCUCUAUAUGUGCUACAAGAUCAUUGUCCUGAUACUUCGCUUAUGUUUCCAGGAGGAAUCAGGAGUUAAUAAAGGAACUGAGCGCUCCUGAACCGGGUUCCAGGGAUCUAUACUUCCCCACCCAAUACUCUCAGUCCUUUUUAGUUCAGUGCAAGGCUUGUUUUUGGAAACAACACUGGUCAUAUUGGAGGAACUCGCAAUAUAAUGCAAUUAGAUUCUUCAUGACUGUUGUCAUUGGAAUUAUGUUUGGCGUUAUCUUUUGGGACAAAGGAACUAAAAUGUAAGUCCAAAUUUUCCUUAUCUCGCAACCUUGAAUGAUAAAAGAGCCUACUCAAUUCAGUUACAUAAUGCUAACAUUAGCUUCAAUACCGUGCAUCGGUUAACAGAUUUAGACAACAAGACUUGCUUAAUAUACUCGGAGCUAUUUAUGCUGCUGUUCUUUUCCUUGGAGCUACCAAUGCUUCUGCCGUGCAGUCUGUUGUGGCGAUUGAGAGAACAGUUUUUUACCGUGAAAGAGCAGCAGGAAUGUACUCUGAGUUGCCUUACGCAUUUGCUCAGGUGAAGCAUUCAGAUCCCUUUUUGCCUGUCUACUUAUCACAUUAUCAUUUUCUACUCGCAAAUCAAAUAAAGCCUUCCAGUUCUAACAUCCCUUGUGCAUCUUACAAUUGCAGGUUGCAAUUGAAACUAUUUAUGUUGCAAUUCAAACUCUGGUUUACACACUUCUUUUGUACUCGAUGAUUGGAUUCGACUGGACUGCCGAGAAGUUCUUGUAUUUCUACUACUUCAUCUUCAUGUGCUAUGCCUACUUCUCAAUGUACGGGAUGAUGGUUGUUGCAUUGACUCCUGGCCAUCAAAUUGCUGCUAUUGUCAUGUCCUUCUUCUUGAGUUUCUGGAAUCUGUUUUCUGGUUUUCUCAUCCCACGUCCGGUACGUGAAUGCUAAGCUAUAUUUACCUUCGUAUAUACAUUUUUUCAAUUUACUCCACUCCACCACAUGAAGCUCCAAAUUGUACUGUACUGUUCCAUUGAAUUCUUGACUGACUAUACCACCAUUUUGUGUUAAAACAAUUUGCAGCUUAUUCCAGUAUGGUGGAGGUGGUACUACUGGUGCUCUCCUGUUGCAUGGUCAAUUUAUGGCAUUUUUGCAUCUCAAAUUGCUGACAGAACAACUGGUAUUGAAGUCCCUGGUAGUGACACAAAAGUUCCAAUCAACCAAUUCCUUAAAGAAUACUUGGGCUAUGACCAUGACUUCCUCAUUCCAGUGGUCUUUGCCCACGUCGGUUGGGUCCUCUGCUUCUUCUUUGUCUUCGCUUAUGGCAUCAAGUUCCUGAACUUCCAAAGAAGAUGAUCACUUCUCAGUUCACAUGCAGAGUAUUUCUUUAGGUUUAUAGACCAACUGUAUAUCUUUGUAGCUAAGCAGACAGGACCAGCGAUCUUUCUCUCUUUGUUUAUAGGUGUCUUUAGAAAACUCCGACCAAUGGUCCAAUAUUCCCAUUUGAGCACAAUAUAGCUGCAAGAACGGCUCAUAUGAUACGAGUCCCUAAAGGUACAAGUAUAAUACGAGACGGGUAUAGUAUGUGACAUAAUAUGUAUGUAUUGUAUGAUUUUUUUCAAGAGUAUAAUUAAAAGUUCAGCGUAAAAAUAUUGGCAAAAUUAUGUAUUAUGUACACGCGUGUGUAUGUGAAUUCAUAGGUAAAUAAUACGAAUAUAAUUGAAAGUUACAAAAGUCAAAGUACGGAUAAAAUUACUGUAAUUUUCAAAGAUUUUACGACUACAUUGGCACUAAUUUUAACUCUUAUAGAUUUUACUACAUUAGUACUAAUUUUAACUCUUAUCCUCGUGUAUGAAACGUAAAUUUAUUAAAAUGUUAUCAUUUUAGUUCUUUUAAUGUGUAAAUUUGCAUAAAAUACAACACAUGUCAUUACUGUUUUGUAUAUAAUUCAGAAGUUAUAUCAUUAGUUUUACCUAAAUUUGAAAAUUUUUCCAAAAAAAUUGAAGUAUAAUACGUUAAAAAUUUAUAAUGUGCUUCAUACAAUUAGUUCAACAAAUGUAAAUAUUUUUAGAGUAUUUUUGAAAUAUUUAAAAUACACAUUAUUUUUUUAAAACAAAUUAUACGUACAAACAGAUAUUAUACUCGUAUGUACUAUAAUUAUGAUCCCCAAACGCAACCCGCCGGUUUUCAUGAUAAAUUCGUCCAUCCGACCAACUUGUCAAGUAAGAAACAUAAAACUAAGCGAAACAGCAAAUGCAAAGAGUUAAAUGCUAAAUCGAAAGCAUCUGAGUACUAUAAGUUAAUGAACCAGAAAGUUUGCAGUAAAGACCCUUUUCUCCACGAUUAAACUUAAAAUAGUAACUAGAGUAUCCAAAAGUUCCAUCCAAUUUGAGGUGAUGUUCUAAAUUGCCAAGUCAAAAGAUCCAUCAACUUUCAUCCUCAUCAUCAUCAUCAUCCCAAAAAGAGUAACUGCAUAUAAGAAAGCAGCACUGGCGACAAGCAACAAAACGAAUGAAAACGAGUUGAACUACACGUUCACACCCCCUAAAACAUCCCUGCACUUGAUUGCUUCGUCAUUGUGUCUUUAUGGAAGCCUCUGCAAUAUCCUUAAUUGCUUUCCUGCUCUUCACGACACGACGUCUUUUG
rnacentral:lncRNA from 1 species